UACGUAGGUCCCGAGCGUUGCCCGGAUUUAUUGGGCGUAAAGCGAGCGCAGGUGGUUUAAUAAGUCUGAUGUAAAAGGCAGUGGCUCAACCAUUGUGUGCAUUGGAAACUGUUAGACUUGAGUGCAGUAGAGGAGAGUGGAAUUCCAUGUGUAGCGGUGAAAUGCGUAGAUAUCGGGAGGAACACCAGUAGCGAAGGCGGCCAUCUGGCUGGUAACUGACGCUGAGGUGCGAGAGCGUGGGGAGCAAACAGG
rnacentral:rRNA from 1 species